GGCCUGAGGAGACUCAGAAGCC
rnacentral:misc_RNA from 1 species